UACAGAGGGUGCAAACGUUGUUCGGAAUUACUGGGCGUAAAGCGCGUGUAGGCUGCUCCGCAAGUCGGAUGUGAAAGCCCUGGGCUCAACCUAGGAAGUGCAUUCGAUACUGCGGAGCUGGAGUCCUGGAGAGGAAGGCGGAAUUCUCGGUGUAGAGGUGAAAUUCGUAGAUAUCGAGAGGAACACCGGUGGCGAAGGCGGCCUUCUGGACAGUGACUGACGCUGAGACGCGAAAGCGUGGGGAGCAAACAGG
rnacentral:rRNA from 1 species